rnacentral:rRNA from 1 species
GGACGAACGCUGGCGGCGUGCUUAACACAUGCAAGUCGAGCGGUAAGGCCCUUCGGGGUACACGAGCGGCGAACGGGUGAGUAACACGUGGGUGAUCUGCCUCGUACUCUGGGAUAAGCCUGGGAAACUGGGUCUAAUACCGGAUAUGACCAUUAGUCGCAUGGCUGGUGGUGGAAAGAUUUAUCGGUGCGAGAUGGGCCCGCGGCCUAUCAGCUUGUUGGUGGGGUAACGGCCUACCAAGGCGACGACGGGUAGCCGACCUGAGAGGGUGAUCGGCCACACUGGGACUGAGACACGGCCCAGACUCCUACGGGAGGCAGCAGUGGGGAAUAUUGCACAAUGGGCGGAAGCCUGAUGCAGCGACGCCGCGUGCGGGAUGACGGCCUUCGGGUUGUAAACCGCUUUCGACAGGGACGAAGCGCAAGUGACGGUACCUGUAGAAGAAGCACCGGCCAACUAC